rnacentral:rRNA from 1 species
CUCAAAUUUGAAAUCUGGCGUAAGCCCGAGUUGUAAUUUGUAGAGGAUGCUUCUGGGUAGCGGCCGGUCUAAGUUCCUUGGAACAGGACGUCAUAGAGGGUGAGAAUCCCGUAUGUGACUGGCUUGCACCCUCUACGUAGCUCCUUCGACGAGUCGAGUUGUUUGGGAAUGCAGCUCUAAAUGGGAGGUAAAUUUCUUCUAAAGCUAAAUACCGGCCAGAGACCGAUAGCGCACAAGUAGAGUGAUCGAAAGAUGAAAAGCACUUUGGAAAGAGAGUUAAAAAGCACGUGAAAUUGUUGAAAGGGAAGCGCCCGCAACCAGACUUUGCGGCGGUGUUCGGCUGGUCUUCUGACCGGUUUACUCGCCGCCGUGAGGCCAUCAUCGUCUGGGACCGCUGGAUAAGACCUGAGGAAUGUAGCUCCCUUCGGGGUGUGUUAUAGCCUCUGGUGAUGCAGCGCGUCUCGGGCGAGGUCCGCGCUUCGGCAAGGAUGAUGGCGUAAUGGUUGUCGGCGGCCCGUCUUGAAACACGGACCAAGGAGUCUAACAUCUAUGCGAGUGUUCGGGUGUCAAACCCCUACGCGUAAUGAAAGUGAACGGAGGUGGGAACUUUUUGUGCACCAUCGACCGAUCCUGAUGUCCUCGGAUGGAUUUGAGUAAGAGCAUAGCUGUUGGGACCCGAAAGAUGGUGAACUAUGCCUGAAUAGGGUGAAGCCAGAGGAAACUCUGGUGGAGGCUCGCAGCGGUUCUGACGUGCAAAUCGAUCGUCAAAUUUGGGUAUAGGGGCGAAAGACUAAUCGAACCAUCUAGUAGCUGGUUCCUGCCGAAGUUUCCCUCAGGAUAGCAGUAACGUUUUCAGUUUUAUGAGGUAAAGCGAAUGAUUAGAGGCCCUUGGGGUUGAAACAACCUUUAACCUAUUUCUCAAACUUUAAAUAUGUAAGAAGUCCUUGUUACUUAGUUGAACGUGGACAUUUGAUGUACCGUUACUAGUGGGCCAUUUUUGUUAGCAGACUGGCGAUGCGGGAUGACGACGGAGUAAGUGCUGAAUAUACCGCUCAUCAGACACCCACAAAAGUGAUAAGGUCAAUCUAGAACGCCAGGAACGGUUGCCAUGGAAGUCGGAAUUCGGCUUAAGGAGUUUGUUACUACCUCUCGCAACCCUGUGCGCGGAAUGUA